rnacentral:rRNA from 1 species
UACGUAGGGGCCUAGCGUUGUCCGGAUUUAUUGGGCGUAAAGAGCUCGUAGGCGGCUCGGUAAGUCGGGUGUGAAACCUCCAGGCUCAACCUGGAGACGCCACCUGAUACUGCUGUGGCUAGAGUCCGGUAGGGGAGUGUGGAACUCCUGGUGUAGCGGUGAAAUGCGCAGAUAUCAGGAAGAACACCAGCGGCGAAGGCGGCACUCUGGGCCGGAACUGACGCUGAGGAGCGAAAGCGUGGGUAGCAAACAGG